rnacentral:rRNA from 1 species
UAGGGUCAAGUGACUAAGAGCAUGUGGUGGAUGCCUUGGCGAUGAUAGGCGACGAAAGACGUGAUAGCCUGCGAAAAGCUUCGGGGAGCUGGCAAAUAAGCUUUGAUCCGGAGAUAUCUGAAUGGGGAAACCCACCCGCAAGGGUAUCGCUAACUGAAUACAUAGGUUAGCGAGGCGAACCGAGUGAACUGAAACAUCUAAGUAGCUCGAGGAAAAGACAUCAACCGAGAUUCCGAAAGUAGUGGCGAGCGAAAUCGGAACAGCCUUCUAGUGAUAGUCGGACAGUUAGCAAAGUGGCAUGGAAAGGCCAACCAUAGUGGGUGAUAGUCCCGUAUGCGAAAACUGACCGGUGGUACUAAGCUAGAGAAAAGUAGGGCGGGGCACGAGAAACCUUGUCUGAACAUGGGGGGACCAUCCUCCAAGGCUAAAUACUCAUCAUCGACCGAUAGUGAACAAGUACCGUGAGGGAAAGGCGAAAAGAACCCCGGGAGGGGAGUGAAAUAGAUCCUGAAACCGCAUGCUUACAAAAAGUCGGAGCCCGCAAGGGUGACGGCGUACCUUUUGUAUAAUGGGUCAGCGACUUACAUUCAGUGGCAAGGUUAACCGAAUAGGGAAGCCGUAGAGAAAUCGAGUCCGAACAGGGCGUUGAGUCGCUGGGUGUAGACCCGAAACCAGGUGAUCUAUCCAUGGCCAGGAUGAAGGUGCCGUAACAGGUACUGGAGGUCCGAACCGACUAGUGUUGCAAAAUUAGCGGAUGAGCUGUGGAUAGGGGUGAAAGGCUAAACAAACCUGGAAAUAGCUGGUUCUCUCCGAAAACUAUUUAGGUAGUGCCUCAAGUAUUACCUUCGGGGGUAGAGCACUGUUUAGGCUAGGGGGUCAUGGCGACUUACCAAACCUAUGCAAACUCCGAAUACCGAAGAGUACAGCUUGGGAGACAGAGCACCGGGUGCUAACGUCCGGACUCAAGAGGGAAACAACCCAGACCGCCAGCUAAGGUCCCUAAAAUUGGCUAAGUGGGAAACGAAGUGGGAAGGCUAAAACAGUCAGGAUGUUGGCUUAGAAGCAGCCAUCAUUUAAAGAAAGCGUAAUAGCUCACUGAUCGAGUCGUCCUGCGCGGAAGAUGUAACGGGGCUAAGCCAGUUACCGAAGCUGCGGAUGUGCAAUUUAUUGCACGUGGUAGGAGAGCGUUCUGUAAGCCUGUGAAGGUGUCUGGUAACGGAUGCUGGAGGUAUCAGAAGUGCGAAUGCUGACAUGAGUAGCGUUAAAGGGGGUGAAAAGCCCCCUCGCCGUAAGCGCAAGGUUUUCUACGCAACGUUCAUCGGCGUAGAGUGAGUCGGCCCCUAAGGCGAGGCAGAGAUGCGUAGUUGAUGGGAAACAGGUCAAUAUUCCUGUACCGAUGUGUAGUGCGAUGUGGGGACGGAGAAGGUUAGCUCAGCCAACUGUUGGAUAUGUUGGUUCAAGCCUGUAGUCGUGCCCGGUAGGCAAAUCCGCCGGGCUUAGAUGAGGGGUGAUAACGAGUCUGCUUGCAGACGAAGUGAGUGAUACCCUGCUUCCAGGAAAAGCCACUAAGCUUCAGCUACACACGACCGUACCGCAAACCGACACUGGUGCGCGAGAUGAGUAUUCUAAGGCGCUUGAGAGAACUGCGGAGAAGGAACUCGGCAAAUUGAUACCGUAACUUCGGGAGAAGGUAUGCC